rnacentral:rRNA from 1 species
GACGAACGCUGGCGGCGCGCUUAACACAUGCAAGUCGAGCGAGAACCUGGGCUUCGGCCCUGGGGACAGCGGCGAACGGGGGAGUAACACGUGGGUAAUCUGCCCUCGGUAUCGGGAUAGCCCGGGGAAACCCGGAUUAAUACCGAAUGGCCCUUUCGGUCUUCGGAUUGAAAGGAAAAGGUAGCUUCGGCCUCCGACCGAGGAUGAGCCCGGGGCGGAUUAGCUUGUUGGUGGGGUAACGGCCUACCAAGGCGGCGAUCUGUAGCUGGUCUGAGAGGACGAUCAGCCACACUGGGACUGAGACACGGCCCAGACUCCUACGGGAGGCAGCAGUGGGGAAUCUUGCGCAAUGGGCGAAAGCCUGACGCAGCGACGCCGCGUGCGGGAAGAAGGCCUUCGGGUUGUAAACCGCUUUCAGGUGGGACGAAGCCACUCGGGUGAAUAGCCCAGAGGGUGGCGGUACCUCCAGAAGAAGUCCCGGCUAACUACGUGCCAGCCGCCGCCGUAAUAC